rnacentral:rRNA from 1 species
GACGAACGCUGGCGGCGUGCCUAAUACAUGCAAGUCGAACGCUUCUUUCCUCCCGAGUGCUUGCACUCAAUUGGAAAGAGGAGUGGCGGACGGGUGAGUAACACGUGGGUAACCUACCCAUCAGAGGGGGAUAACACUUGGAAACAGGUGCUAAUACCGCAUAACAGUUUAUGCCGCAUGGCAUAAGAGUGAAAGGCGCUUUCGGGUGUCGCUGAUGGAUGGACCCGCGGUGCAUUAGCUAGUUGGUGAGGUAACGGCUCACCAAGGCCACGAUGCAUAGCCUACCUGAGAGGGUGAUCGGCCACACUGGAACUGUGACACGGCCCAGACUCCUACGGGAGGCAGCAGUAGGGAAUCUUCAGCAAUGGACGAAAGUCUGACCGAGCAACGCCGCGUGAGUGAAGAAGGUUUUCGGAUCGUAAAACUCUGUUGUUAGAGAAGAACAAGGACGUUAGUAACUGAACGUCCCCUGACGGUAUCUAACCAGAAAGCCACGGCUAACUACGUG